UACGGGGGGGGCAAGCGUUGUUCGGAAUUACUGGGCGUAAAGAGCGCGCAGGCGGCUGGUCAAGUCCGAUGUGAAAGCUCCCGGCUUAACUGGGAAAUUGCAUCGGAAACUGAUCGGCUGGAAGGUGGGAGAGGGUAGCGGAAUUCCCGGUGUAGUGGUGAAAUGCGUAGAUAUCGGGAGGAACACCAGUGGCGAAGGCGACUUCCUGGCCUGUUUUUGACGCUGAGGCGCGAAAGCUAGGGGAGCAAACGGG
rnacentral:rRNA from 1 species